UACGUAGGGUGCAAGCGUUGUCCGGAAUUAUUGGGCGUAAAGAGCUCGUAGGCGGUUUGUCGCGUCUGCUGUGAAAACUCGGGGCUUAACCCCGGGCCUGCAGUGGGUACGGGCAGACUAGAGUGCGGUAGGGGAGACUGGAAUUCCUGGUGUAGCGGUGAAAUGCGCAGAUAUCAGGAGGAACACCGGUGGCGAAGGCGGGUCUCUGGGCCGUAACUGACGCUGAGGCGCGAAAGCGUGGGUAGCAAACGGG
rnacentral:rRNA from 1 species